rnacentral:rRNA from 1 species
GAUUAUGGCUCAGGACGAACGCUGGCGGCGUGCUUAACACAUGCAAGUCGAACGAGGAUUAUGUUGGAGGGGGCUUCGGCCUGGAAGAUGUAAUUCGAGUGGCGGACGGGUGAGUAACGCGUGAACAAUCUGUCCCGGACAGGGGAAUAACACUUGGAAACAGGUGCUAAUACCGCAUAAGACCACGCCCUCGCAUGGGGGAGGGGUAAAAGGAGCAAUCCGGUUCGGGGUGAGUUCGCGUCCGAUUAGAUAGUUGGUGAGGUAACGGCCCACCAAGUCGAUGAUCGGUAGCCGACCUGAGAGGGUGAUCGGCCACAUUGGAACUGAGAGACGGUCCAAACUCCUACGGGAGGCAGCAGUGGGGAAUAUUGGGCAAUGGGCGAAAGCCCUGACCCAGCAACGCCGCGUGAGUGAAGAAGGCUUUCGGGUUGUAAAGCUCUGUUAUAGGGGACGAAGGAAGUGACGGUACCCUAUAAGGAAGCCCCGGCUAACUACGUGCCAGCAGCCGC